UACAGAGGGUGCUAGCGUUAAUCGGAUUUAUUGGGCGUAAAGAGCUCGUAGGCGGUCUGUCACGUCGGCUGUGAAAUCCCGAGGCUCAACCUCGGGUCUGCAGUCGAUACGGGCAAACUAGAGUAUUGCAGGGGAGACUGGAAUUCCUGGUGUAGCGGUGAAAUGCGCAGAUAUCAGGAGGAACACCGGUGGCGAAGGCGGGUCUCUGGGCAAUAACUGACGCUGAGGAGCGAAAGCGUGGGGAGCGAACAGG
rnacentral:rRNA from 1 species